rnacentral:rRNA from 1 species
UACAGGGGGGGCAAGCGUUGUUCGGAAUUACUGGGCUUAAAGCGUGUGUAGGCGGAUCGUUAAGUACCUUGUGAAAUCCCACGGCUCAACCGUGGAACUGCUGGGUAUACUGGCGGUCUUGAGCCACCUAGGGGCAACUGGAACAAGCGGUGGAGCGGUGAAAUGCGUAGAUAUCGCUUGGAACGCCAACGGUGAAAACAGGUUGCUGGGGGUGUGCUGACGCUGAGACACGAAAGCCAGGGGAGCGAACGGG